AGUCCGACCCAGGAUAGGUCCAGGCUCAAUACUACUUCCUAGAUCAAUCGAUUCCAACUAGACUUGCCUAGUUAGAAUGGUUGGAUCACUAAUGCUCUUGAAGGGCUCCUUAAGAUUUAUGAGGAGUCCCUCUGAGUUGAACUUCAAUUUUUUCUUCACCCCUUCAUCGCCAAUCUUCUCGACUUCUACCAACUUAUUCCUGC
rnacentral:lncRNA from 1 species